rnacentral:rRNA from 1 species
UUUAAACCGAUGGAAGUUUGAGGCAAUAACAGGUCUGUGAUGCCCUUAGAUGUUCUGGGCCGCACGCGCGCUACAAUGCUAGGCUCAACGAGUUCUUACUUGGCUGAAAGGCCUGGUUAAUCUUUUGAAAUCCUAGCGUGCUUGGGCUUGCCUCUUGCAACUAGAGGCACCAACGAGGAAUUCCUAGUAGACGCACGUCAUCAACGUGCAUCGAUUACGUCCCUGCCCUUUGUACACACCGCCCGUCGCUCCUACUGAUUGAAUGCUCCGGUGAGACGUCGAGAGAGUGCCCCUCCGAUCAGCAAUGGUCGAGGAGUGUUCGAACUUCCUCAAAUUGUAGCAUUUAGAAGAAGGAGAAGUCGUAACAAGGUUUCCGU